GUGCCAGCAGCCGCGGUAACACGUAGGCUCCAAGCGUUGUCCGGAUUUAUUGGGCGUAAAGAGCUCGUAGGCGGUUGAGUAAGUCGGGUGUGAAAACUCUGGGCUUAACCCGGAGACGCCAUCCGAUACUGCUCUGACUAGAGUUCAGGAGGGGAGUGGGGAAUUCCUAGUGUAGCGGUGAAAUGCGCAGAUAUUAGGAGGAACACCGGUGGCGAAGGCGCCACUCUGGACUGAAACUGACGCUGAGGAGCGAAAGCAUGGGUAGCAAACAGGAUUAGAUACCCUGGUAGUCCAUGCCGUAAACGGUGGGCACUAGGUGUGGGUUCCAACUAACGGGAUCCGCGCCGUCGCUAACGCAUUAAGUGCCCCGCCUGGGGAGUACGGUCGCAAGACUAAA
rnacentral:rRNA from 1 species